GAUUCUACAGGUGGCAGCACGUCUGCAGGGGUUGUAGUUGGAGAAUUUAUAUUAGGAAAAGAAAUUCAUUAGCAAAAGAGUUAAAGGAUUUAAAUCUGCAAACGAAUUUAUUUACUAUGCACCAAAUCAAAGUUGCAACUAACAACUUUGAUAUUUCCAACAAGAUUGGAGAAGGAGGCUUUGGUCCUGUUUAUAAGGGCAUUUUAUCAAAUGGCACGAUAAUAGAUGUCAAGAUGCUUUCAUCUAGGUCAAAGCAAGGAAAUCGUGAGUUUAUAAAUGAGAUAGGCUUGAUUUCAGCCUUGCAGCACGC